GCAGUGCAUGUACUAAUUAGUUACAGUUACAAGUGUGUAUAUGGUAAACAUUAUUGCACUCAAAUGAUCUUAAUCUAACAGCCUGUUUGGAAUAAUACUUUACAAAUACUGAAAAAUUACUAAAAAGAAAAAAGAUGAGUUCUUAAUUAGUUAGUGUUACAAAAAAGCAUUCUUGAAUAUUUGAAAAGUCACUCCAAACAAAUCCAAGCUUUUAACCAAUAGAAGGUGUUUGUAUAACUUUGCCAGAAGAAUCAACUAAUAGCCAAACACAGUUAAAUCUAAGAUCAGAAGUUAUGGCAUAAUCAGGAGGAACCACUUAAACAUAAACCUCUGUCAUUUCUUCUUUUAUCUUCUUCUCUACCUCUUCUGCUGUCAAACUCACUAAUGAUGGCUAUACCUUAUUCUUUGGUGUCUCCGGUUGAAAUAAUUGCAUUAGCUCCUUAUAAGAUUAUGUGUAAUAUUUGUGUGGCAAUCAUUUUUUUAGUACAAUAAUACAUAUUCUAUCGAAAGUUGCUGCUAUAGGGGUUUUAAAAAAAAUGGAUAUUAACAGGUAUGGGUAUUGAUCAUGGUGCCACAUAGUUGGAGAACCACGAUCAUAAUAGUCAGCAUUCAUUCUACUUUUUUUUUUUCUUUUGGAAUAUGCCUUCUAAUUUCUGUUUGUACGUUAUCCAUAAACCACUGAGAGCAAAACUCCAUCUCCUGGUUUUCAAAAAGAAAACAUGGGUGUUCAAUUGUUUUUGGUUCAAUGUGUAACUUCACGGCUUCUCUCUAUUGAUUCAGUUUGUAAACUUCACAAAGAUCAUGUCUGAGAGCACAGAAGCGUCAAAGAAGGAAGCAACAUUUGCCUUGGCCGCACUCAUGGAAAUUCCAUUUCAAUACAGAGCAACCCUCUCCUUGCCAAAUUCAAAGUAAGCCUGGAUUUUCAACUUCAAUUGAACGAUUGAAAUGUCGUGUUUUUGUUAUUUGGCAUUCUGAUUAACCAAGUAAAUUAGCCUACAUUGCGAUUGUGUUAUGUGUUAUUUAAGAUUUUAGGCCUAAGGUUCAAAUAGUUGUCAUAAAAACUCUCUAACCCUAUUGAUGUUUAUGUAAUUUGUAUUAUCUCAUAUUUUCUCUGUUAAUAGCUUAAUAAAACUACUCUCUGUUGAUCUUUAUUGUUUGCACUUUCUCGCUUUCUUUAUUUGUUGAUUUCGUAACAAUUUCUGUUUUGGGUUUGGAAAAAUAACACACUAACUAUUAUGCAGGAGAGAAACUGUAUAUGGAAAAAGUGCAAGGCCACUUCCUCCUCCUCCUGAAGUCAUCAAUUAUGACAAUGCAGUUGCAAACCAAAUUUUGGAGAAUGCAAAAGCUGAAAAACAUAGUUCCUCAUCUGAAUCGGUAACUUCGCUUUUAUUUUAUUUAUGGAGUUUUCUAAGAAUGAGAGAACCAAACAUGUGUGGCUUUACAAUUACUCUAGGAAAAUUUUGUUGAAAUCUGGGGUUUAAGAUUGAUUAAGGCAACAAGUUGUGAGAGCCUUGUCUACUGAAACAAAAGAAAUUUCUCUUUUGUUUCAUGACUUCAUUAAUAUAAAUUAUUAAUUAAAUGUCUCUUGUUCAAGGUCUGCCCCAUAUGCCUCACAAACCCAAAGGACAUGGCUUUUGCAUGUGGUCAUACAGUAAGUUCUCUACCUUUGAACUUCUAACAGUGCUAAUGUUUGCUAAUAUUUUCUAAUGGAAUAAAAAAUGUUUGAAUGGUUUCAUAUUCGUAUUACUUGGCCAAGACACUCAUGAAUGUUUGAAUGGUUUCAUAUUCGUAUUAUUUGGUCAUACAGUAGGUUUUGCUGUUAAAGUAUCUUUCUAAUGUUUAUUUUUCCAAUAUUCAACUGACCUUAAUUAUCCACUGAUUUGAAUUUUUAAGUUUGUUGAUUUGAUGGUGAUUUUUUAGGCUGCUUCAACUAUUUCACAAGCAGUGCAUGCUAUUUUAUUUUAGUCAGUAUACUGAAUCCAUUUCUUUAUGUCAAUUUUUCUCUGUUAUAUGUUUAGAAUAUGUUGAAAAGAAUAAAUAGUACCCUAAAUUUAUCUUUUUGAACUUAACCUUUUAGUUGAUAUUUUAAUGAACAUUUAUAAUUUCACCAAGUGUUUGAAGCUAUUUUCUGAUCGAUCCAUUGUAGUGAUGAAGCUACGAAGCAAGUGAUUGAUGUUUGGUUAGUGACAAGAUUUAUUGUAAUUUUGUUAUUCAUGACAAUAUAACCUUGUUGUAUUUAGUUUCUUUGUAAAAAUAUAUUACCCACAUUCAGUUUCUAUUUUGCUUGUAUUUGUCCCUUCGGAAAAUUUCGAUAGAUUUUCUACACUUAGUUUCUUUGUAAAAAUGUUAUCUAUGAAAUCUAAUGUAAAGCCUAUUUCAUUAUGUAUAUGUAAAGUCUUGGAAUUGAAUAUAUAUGGUGAAUGGUUUUAUUUAUAUAUGUUUGAGAUUUGAAACUAUAUUUGAUGAAUAUCAAAUAUCUAUGAAACUGUUGCUGGACAAUUACAGGACAAUCAUCUUUCCAUUACAGCAUAAUUCAAUUUUAAUUUCUUUUUUUAAAAAAAAUUAAAAAAUGCUUGACGGUUUUAAAAUGUCAUGAACAAUUGCAAGCUUAACGGUUUUAAACUAUCAUGAACAAUUGCAUUUUUGACGGUUGACAAAUGUCAAGAACAAUUACAUUCUUGACAGUUUUAAAAUGUCAUGAAUAUUAAAAUUCUUGACAGGUUUAAAAUGUCAUAAAUCAGUUCAUCCUUGACGGCUUUAAAAUGUCAUAAACAAUACCAGUCUUGACGGUUCUAAAACGUCAUGAACAUAAGUAUACUUGACGUUUAUAAAACGUCAAGGUUCACUAUUCUUGACGUUUAUAAAACGUCAAGGUUCACUAUUCUUGACGUUUAUAAAACGUCAAGGUUCACUAUUCUUGACGUUUAAUCAACCGUCAAGAACUUUGCCUUUCUUGACGCUGGCUUCAACGACGGUUUAAAAACCGUCAAGAGAGCCUUCUCUUGACAGUUUAAAAACGUCAAGAGAGCUUGUUUUUGGAGUAGUGUCUCUUCAAGAUUACCGUUCAAAAAAGCUGUCUUGACAUCCAUCUGCCAAAUUUCAUAAUCAUAAAAGGUGGCGAUGGAUAAGAGUAUUCUAAUUGACUUUAACAUGGCAACGGGAGAGAAAGUUUCCUCAUAGUCUACUCCCUCUCUCUGGGUAUAACCCUUUGCCACAAGUCGAGCCUUAAAAGUCUGUACUUUACCGGCAUGGUCUCGUUUUCUCUUGUAGAUCCAUUUACAACCAAUAGGUUUUACGUCAUUUGGUUGAUCUACUAGAGUCCAGACAGAAUUAAAGUACAUAGACUCCAUUUCGAGGUCCAUGGCUUUGAUCCAUUGGUCACGAUCUACAUCUUUCAUUGCCUGUUUAUAGGUUAAUGGAUCCUCUAUGCCAUCGUCAGGUAUGACGACUUGAGUUUCAAUUAAACCCAAAUAGCGAUCAGGCUGAUGAACAACCCUCCCACUACGUCGAGGCUCUCUCAACUGUUGAGAAGGAUGUGAUUGACCAGAUUUCCUAGUCUUAUCAACUACCUUAGUGGAUGAACUAGGUUUAUCUAUAGCACUUUUGGAAAUUUCUUUUAAUACUAGUUUACUACGAGGUUGAUGAUCCCUGAUGUGGUCUUCCUCUAAGAAUGUGGCAUUUGUUGACACAAAUAUUUUAUUUUCUUGAGGAUCAUAAAACAAACCACCUCUUGAUUCUUUUGGAUAACCUAUGAAAAAGCAUAAUUUUGAACGAUGUUCCAAUUUCUUAGGAUUUUGUACCAACACGUGUGCUGGACAACCCCAAAUUCUAAAAUGACGUAAACUUCCUUUACGCCCUUUCCAUAGCUCAUAAGGUGUUUCUGAAACACUUUUAGAGGGAACAUUAUUCAAAAUAUAAGCAGCUGUUUCUAAAGCAUAUCCCCAAAAAGAAUCUGACAUCUGAGAAAAACUCCAUAGAGCGAACCAUGUCUAACAAGGUCCGGUUUCUUCUUUCUGAUACACUGUUUUGUUGAGGUGUACUAGGUGCAGGGAGUUGUGACUGGAUUCCAUUUUCUAUUAAAUAGUCUCGAAAUCGUAAGUCCAUAUACGAAGUAUUUUUAUUGUUUUACCUAAUUCGUUUUCUACUUCAGCCUUAUAUUCUUUGAACUUUUCAAGACUAUUAGACUUAUGAUGUAUUAGGUAAAUAUGACCAUACCUUGAAUAAUCAUCAAUGAAGCUAAUGAAAUAUUCAUAUCCACCUCGAGCUUUGACAUUCAUUGGUCCACAAAGGUCCGAAUGUACGAGCUCUAAGGGUCCUUUGGCUCUUAGACCUUUUCCAGUAAAAGAUCUCUUGGUCAUUUUUCCUUCAAGACAAGAUUCACAAGGAGGUAAAGUAUUAUUUUCUAACUGACUUAGAAGCCCACUUUUAACUAAUCUCCCAAUCCUAUUGAGAUUUAUGUGACCAAGUCUUAAGUGCCAUAAAUAGGCAUUAGAAGAAACUUUUUGUCUUUUAUUCUGAGUUUCAGCUGUUCUGAAUAUUUCAGUAUUUAAGACAAAAUUUGCUCUAGUUGGUCUUAACUUAUAUAAGUUGUCUUCAAGUAUAGCAGAACAAACUAGAAUACCUUUAUAGAAAACGAACGCUUCAUUAAUUUCAAAAGAUAUUCUAUACAUUUGUUCCAAAAUACAAGAGAUAGAUAUUAAAUUUCUUUUCAUUUGAGGUACAUAUAAGACAUUCUUAAGUAUGACAUAUCUAUCUCUAAAAAACAACUUUAAAUCUCCCACUGCUGAAGCUGAGACCAUCUCUCCUGUUCCAACCUUGAGAGUGAUCUCGCCUUCUGAAAGCUUUUUCCAAGAACUAUUUUCCUGAAAUGAGAAGCAAAUAUGGUUAGUGGCUCCUGAAUCUAGUAUCCAGGUACAAUUUUCAUAUUCCACUAAACAUGUUUCUACAACUAGUAAAUCAUAUUUACCUUGUGUUUCCUUCUCUGCCUUUUUUUUGCAAGGUAUUUUGGGCAGUUUCUUAACCAGUGCCCGUUUUGGCCACAAUGGUAACACUUACCUUUUUCUACCUUUCUUACCCUUGUUCUGUUUGGGAGUCUUUCCCUUUCCCUUCUUUUUUAUUUGAGCAUUAGGUUUUGAGGGUCCAGCUUUGGUUUUAGAGGACGAUCCUCUUAUAAAUUUUCUUUUUGUGGUAGCAACAUUUGCUUCCACUUGUUUUCCUUUACCCAUAGUAAGGUUUUGGAAUCGCUGGAGUUCAUUCAGAAGGGUUGUCAAGUUAAAUUCUAUCUUGUUCAAAGACGCAUUCGUUUGGAAUGGAAUGAAGCUCUUCGGAAGAGACUCUAAGAUAAAACUAACUUGAUUAACCUCUUCGAUGGGACCACCAUUCACUUCAGCGAUGUUGAAGUGCAUCAUCAUGUCCAGAACAUGUUCUCUAACAGAGGUCCCUUCCUUCAUACGCUUAGUGUAAAUGUAUUUGACUGCCUCGUGUCUUAAGGACCAUUCUGGUUGCCCAAACAUUCCCCUUAAUGAAUCCAUAAUCUCUUUAGCCGUGGCUAAGGAUUCAUGUUUCUUUGCCAAUACAUCAGACAUGCUGGCAAGAAUGUAGACACGGGCUUUUUCAUUAGCUUUUAUCCAUCGAUCAUAUGCAUCCCGACUAGUUCGGUUAGCAUUAGAGGCAGGGUUUUGAGGACAUUCCUCAGUUAAGACAAAUCUUAAAUCGUCAACCACUAGUAUUGUGUUAAGAUUUGAUUUCCAAGCCGCAUAAUUAUCGCCAUUAAGUUUUUCGGAAGCUAAAAGUUGAACUAUUGAGCUAUUCAUGCUGAAAAACAAACAUAUUCUUUUUAGGAAAAAACUAUAAUCAUAAAAAAUAUCCAAUCUAAUUUAGCAAUUACUAAUAAUGUACCCUUUCAUUAUUUGUAUUUUGCAACAAUAUUUCAAAGGUUUAGAACAACCUUCUCCGAAGGGUAGUUGAUUAUUCCUCCUUUGAACCAAGACAAUCUUGACUAGAUGCUAUCUCUAGAAUAACUCUUAUUCUUUAUAGCACUUAGUUAUCGCUACUUUAGUCAAGAAUAUACUAACAACUUAGUAAUUCUUGUAAGUGUUACCCACCAUUUUCAGAUUUCAUAGAUUAGAAUCAUUUAUGAAAACUAAUCUAAGAAAACCUAUCCAGAUUUGGAGUUCGCGGUGUUCCGAAUCCUAUAAUACAACCCUCCGAAGGGAACGUCGCUCCAGGGCAGACAAGCAGGCAUAUUAUAGAAAUCUCACGGUGCGACCUAAUGGAAGAGACCGUGGGAUGUGCUGCCACAAAUCCCUCACCCACUUACUAUGAACUACUUCCCCUAUUCACCUUGAUUUUGAUCCAUGCAAACACUCUCCGAAGGGAGGCCGCUCCUAUGCACGGCACAAAGCCCUGCAUGGACCUCACGGUGUGAACUCUUAGGGACACUAGAGCUAAAAUACAUUAUUUUUCUCUAGUUGAAGUGUUCUAAAGAAAAAAAUAGGGUAAUCCAAGCUUCAAGAUUUAUAUUUAGGCUAACUUAAACAAAUCUUAAGUCUAGAUAAAACAUCCAAGUAUAACCAUUAUACAGGAUUUUAACCUAUGAUGUCUAGGUGAAACCAUUUUUAUUACCUCACACCUCUCACGAAUGCUCAUAAAACUAGGUUAACUAGGCUCAAGAACUGAUUACGAUCUCCAGGUAGGAGGUGUUCCGUAAACCGUCAACUUAAGAACCUCCAACCUUAGUCAUCUUAUCUGACUUGUUGACAAGAUUGAACCAGGUGAGCCUUUUGUAACCAGUUUUACAAGAUAUCGACCUAUUUCUAUGAAAAAUGGAAGAUAUGUUUAACCUAAGUGAGCAUGCAUUUAAUCUUUGUUUUUUGAUUUUAAAAAGUCUAAUUUAUUUUAUAACACUUAUAAAAACUUUUAAACUUAAUCAAUCAUUUUAUCAAUAUAUAACCUUAUAAAAACAAUCAAUUAAUAUGGAUUUUAAUUUAUUUAACUUUAAUUAAAUCAUAUUUAAUUUUAAUUUAAAUUAAAUCAUAUUUAAUUAAAUUAAAUCAAACAAUAUAUUAAUUAAUUUGAUUAAAUCAUAUUUAAUCAAGAAUAACUUAAUUAAUUAAAUAAUUAAUUAAUCAUAUUAAUUAAUUUCCAUAUUAAUCAAUUAACAUGCAUACAAUACAAUAUAACCUUUAUAUCAUACAUUUAAUGCAUGAACAUGUUAACCUAUGGUGGGAUUUUAAAUCUAUAUGACAUCAAAAUGCACAUACAAAUUUAAAGUAAUUUAAUCAUACAUCACAUGCAUAAAUAAAAAAACACCCUAAAAUGGACGAAUUUUUGGCUCCUAAAUUAAGCUAAGUACUAAAUUAUUACAUAAUUAAUUUGAUGUAGUACAGAACCACUCCAAAAAACUUCGAACCGGCUGAAAAACCAACCAAAACUUCUUGAACCGGCCAAAACCAAGUUUAUUUCUUGAACCGCCCAAUUAACUAAACAGGCCCAGCGCACACGGUCGGGCUCAGGCCGCGCAUGUAGGCGCGCGACGCAGGACCGCGCGACGCAGCGGGUCGCGAAGCGGGUCAAGGCCGGAUUUUCGUCUGUGACCUUCUUUUCUUCAUUUUUUUCAAUUCUCUCACCCGGUUAACCAGUUACAGCCUAAACUUCAACUCUAAUGACUUUUUUUUUUAUUUUUUAAAAUAAAUUACAAACACUUUGCAACAAUAAAAAUAAGCCAUUAACAAGGCUAAUUACAAUAAUUAGAACAAAAACACUUAAUCUAGAGCCAAAAUCAUAAUAUACCAUUUUCGUUCAAACUAAAAUUUAUCUAAUAAAUAUGAACCAGCACAUGCAAUUGGGUAAAAAUGAAGCAUGCUCUAAUACCACAUGAUAGAUAAGUCAUGCAUAACGGAAAAAAGAAUUGAAUUUCUACCCUAAUUCCACAAUUAACAUGUAACCAUAAACUAAUCAAAUUAAGGUUUUAAGAAAUAUUACCUUUGAAGCUUUCAAAAGUUUGAUAUCUUCUUACCAAUUCUA
rnacentral:lncRNA from 1 species